GGAGGGGUGGAGCCGUCGGUGAAAGCGCUUGCGCGCAGUGUUGGGCGCACCCAAGGAGCCUUAAAGGGUUCGAAUCCCGCUUUCGUCUUCUUUGGCUCUAAAUCUAAUCCCUAAUAUAACUCAAGUUUCAUUGAGCCUACCUCAUUCCAGAGAGAGCGAGAGAAAAGCACAAUCAGGACAUCACAUCUCCACACCCUGGCACCAUGUCGUAAAUCCUCCAGUCCUAUAGAUGUCUCUGUGGGAACGUGGGAAGAAGAGCCCAAAGAAGACGACAAGUUAAAAAAAAAACCCACAAGUCUAUGGAUAGUGUGUUUCCUUCUGUUAAUUUGCUGGCAGAGGAAAAGAAGGGAGGAAGGAAAAAGAGAGAGAGAAGAAAGAGAACAACAACAAGAAGAAGAAAUUUCCAAAACCUAACAAACAUCAGGAAGGACCAAGGAGGAAGAAAACAGAUGUAGAGAAGGACUCUCUCGCCCAGAUGAUGUAAAAAAAUAACAAAACCUCUCAGGCUGUUCAAAAUAGAAGCUGGCACUGCCCCGCUGAAUCUCCACAGGAGGGGAGGAAAAGAAAUAUCCAGGAAUGUGUGGGUGUGGAAGGAAAAACCGACGCCAGAUGAAACCAAGAUAUGGACUGUCUGCCUCCCUUCUCUUUGGGUAAGCUAAAAGGGAAAAAGAAAGGACAGACUGAGGAGCAGAAGGCAAACCCUACAAAUCAAGUUCAAA